GAUCCUGGCUCAGAUUGAACGCUGGCGGCAUGCCUUACACAUGCAAGUCGAACGGCAGCGGACCUUCGGGUGCCGGCGAGUGGCGAACGGGUGAGUAAUGCAUCGGAACGUGCCAUUGAGUGGGGAUAACGUAGCGAAAGUUGCGCUAAUACCGCAUAUUCUGUGAGCAGGAAAGCAGGGGACCGCAAGGCCUUGCGCUCUUUGAGCGGCCGAUGUCAGAUUAGCUAGUUGGUGAGGUAACGGCUUACCAAGGCGACGAUCUGUAGCGGGUCUGAGAGGAUGAUCCGCCACACUGGAACUGAGACACGGUCCAGACUCCUACGGGAGGCAGCAGUGGGGAAUUUUGGACAAUGGGGCAACCCUGAUCCAGCCAUGCCGCGUGAGUGAAGAAGGCCUUCGGGUUGUAAAGCUCUUUCGGCCGGGAAGAAAUCGCAUGGGUUAAUACCCUGUGUGGAUGACGGUACCGGCAUAAGAAGCACCGGCUAACUACGUG
rnacentral:rRNA from 1 species